GAUUCUUUAGUAUAUAUUUAGUAUUUAUAGUUGUCAGCUAUAGAGAUAUAGAAUCA
rnacentral:tRNA from 1 species